CGGCCUUGUGGAGGUUUACGUGCAUCCUUAACUUCCACGCUCAAGAGGUGUCUGUGAGGUGGUGUUUCCCCAUGUGGUGGUUCCUCUCCCCUACCACCGGGUCCAGGGUGGUGUGGUGGCUCCUCUCCCCUACCACCAGGUCCGGGGUGAUGUGGUGGCUCCUCUCCUCUACCACCAGGUCCGAGGUGAUGUGGUGGCUCAUCCCCCAUACCACUAGGUCUGGGGUGGUGUGGUGGCUUCUCUCUCCUACCACCAGGUCCGGGGUGAUGUAGUGGUUCAUUCCCCAUACCACUAGGUUCAGGGUGGUGUGGUGGCUCAUCC
rnacentral:lncRNA from 1 species